rnacentral:rRNA from 1 species
GACGAACGCUGGCGGCGUGCCUCAUACAUGCAAGUCGAACGCAGUUGCGCACGGGUGAGUAACGCGUAGGUAACUGCCUCAUAGCGGGGGAUAACUAUUGGGAACGAUAGCUAAUACCGCAUACUGUGAGAUGUACCUGCGUUGUAUUAGCUAGUUGGUGAGGUAAAGGCUCACCAAGGCGACGAUACAUAGCCGACCUGGGAGGGGGAACGGCCAAACCGGGAAGGAGACACGGCCCAGACUCCUACGGGAGGCAGCACGAGGGAAUCUUCGGCAAUUGACGGAAGUCUGACCGAGCAACGCCGCGUGAGUGAAGAAGGUUUGCGGAUCGUAAAGCUCUGUUGUUAGAGAAGCGGUAACUACCCAGAAAGGGACGGCUAACUACGUGCCAGCAGCCGCGGUAAUAC